rnacentral:tRNA from 1 species
AUUUUUUUAGUAUAUUAAGUAUAUUUGACUUCCAAUCAAAAGGACUUUUCUAAAGAAAAAAUA